UUUCUAGAUCAUUCCUCUAACCUACUCUAAUGUGUUGGUACCCUUGUGGUGACAAGAAGAUUGAAACGAGUGGAAUUUCCACACCAGUGGGAAGUUGAAGACAGAUCAAGAGCACUUUGUCUACUGCUCAUCCCUUAGCCAGGUCGUAUAGGUGAGAUGCAACCGGCAAGUGCUGAAAAUGAACAGACACAAAGGUUUACAAAACAACCCUGAAACCAAGACUCUCAAGCAGUAUUGAAGUUUCCUCUGAAGAAGAAAUCCUCAUUUUAUAAUCUUUCAACGCACUAUCCUGGAUAAUUUCUUUGCCGGAAGAAUUUUGUUUUUCUUUUUUGCUGGAAGAAUUUUGUUUUUCUUUUUUGCUUUCUCUCUCUCUUUCUCUCUCUCUCUUUCUUUUCCCAUUUUUAAGGAUUAGUUUUCAGCCUGCCAAUAGUGGUACAUGCCUUUAAUCCUAGCAGUCAGGAGGCAGAGGCAGGAGGAUUUCGUGAGUUCGAAGUCAACUUGGAAAAAGAGAAUUAGUUUUCUUUUCCUUUUUUUCUUUUUUAAAGAUUUAUUUAAUAUAUGUGAGUACAUUGUUGCUGUAUUUAGACACACCAGAAGAGGGCUCCAGAUCUCAUUACAGAUCAUUGUGAGCUACCAUGUGGUUGCUGG
rnacentral:lncRNA from 1 species